UACGUAGGGUGCGAGCGUUGUCCGGAAUUAUUGGGCGUAAAGAGCUCGUAGGCGGUGUGUCACGUCGGCCGUGAAAACCUGCAGCUUAACUGUGGGCGUGCGGUCGAUACGGGCAUCACUGGAGUUCGGCAGGGGAGACUGGAAUUCCUGGUGUAGCGGUGGAGUGCGCAGAUAUCAGGAGGAACACCGGUGGCGAAGGCGGGUCUCUGGGCAGUAACUGACGCUGAGGAGCGAAAGCGUGGGGAGCGAACAGG
rnacentral:rRNA from 1 species